rnacentral:rRNA from 1 species
GACGAACGCUGGCGGCGUGCUUAACACAUGCAAGUCGAGCGGAGCGGCGAACGGGUGAGUAACGCGUGAGUAACUGCCCCCCUCUCUGGGAUAACAGUUGGAAACGGCUGCUAAUACCGGAUAGGGGGGGAUGGAUCGCGUCAUAUCAGCUUGUUGGUGGGGUAGUGGCCUACCAAGGCGACGACGGGUAGCCGGCCUGAGAGGGAGACCGGCCACAUUGGGCUGAGAUACGGCCCAGACUCGUACGGGUGGCAGCAGGGGGGAAUAUUGCACAAUGGGGGAAAGCGUGAGGCAGAAUCGCCGCGUGCGGAAUGACGGCCUUCGGGUUGGAAACCGCUUUCAGCCAUGACGCGGUAGUGGCAGAAGAAGCACCGGCUAACUACGUGCCAGCAGCCGCGGUAAUUC